rnacentral:lncRNA from 1 species
CAAUCGUUGCCAAAGACCCUACCAUUAUGUGUAGUGGUCUGCAUAUUAUUCUUCUGCUAAACAGAGAUAUGAAGAUGAGUCCUUUGGGAGAGGUUAUCUUGUGAGCUAACAGACCUCACAUAGCCAAACGGAUGGAAAUUUUGCUACUGACGUCAGCUUUUCCUAUCAUUCUGGGAAACAAAAUUGUUUUCUAUUCCAACAAUCAGCAGACUUGCUGAAGAUUCUUUUUUUGCCUGGCUGAUUAUGGACUACUCCCAUCAACAAGGAAGAAGGGGGAAAUAGCAAAUUAUGCUCCAUAUAUUGUUUGGAGA